UGCAUUCACUACUGUAAGUCGCUUUGGAUAAGAGCGUCUGCUAAAUGACUAUAA
rfam:Salmo salar isolate Sally breed double haploid chromosome ssa04, whole genome shotgun sequence.